AGUGAACGCUGGCGGUAGGCAUAACACAUGUAAGUCGAACGGCAGCACAGUAAGAGCUUGCUCUUACGGGAGGCGAGUGGCGGCCGGGUGAGGAAUAAAUCGGAAUCUACUUUUUCGUGGGGGGUAACGACGGGCAACUUACGCUAAUACCGCAUACGACCUACGGGUGAAAGCAGGGGAUCUUCGGACCUUGCGCGAUUGAAUGAGCCGAUGUCGGAUUAGCUAGUUGGCGGGGGAAAGGCCCACCAAGGCGACGGUCCGUAGCUGGUCUGAGAGGAUGACCAGCCACACUGGAACUGAGACACGGCCCAGACUACUGCGGGAGGGAACGGCGGGGAAUAUUGACCAAUGCGCGCAGACUCUCUCCAGCCCUACGCAAUGCAGCAGGAGGUCCCUCGCCUGGUAAAGCACUCUUGUUGGGAAAGAAAAGCAGCAGCUUAAUACCCCGCUGUGCUGACGAUACCCAAAGAAUAGGCACGGGCUAACUUCGUG
rnacentral:rRNA from 1 species